GAUGAACGCUGACCGAAUGCUUAACACAUGCAAGUCAACUUGUGGCGGACGGGUGAGUAACGCGAAAAGAACUUGCCUCACCGCUAGGGGCAACAUUUAGCAAUGAAUGCUAAUACAUGAUACUGUGAGAGAGCUUUGCGUACCAUUAGCUAGUUGGAGAGGUAACAGCUCACCCAGGCGAUGAUGGGUAGCCGACCUGGGAGGGUGAACGGCCACAAGGGGCAUGGGACACGGCCCGUACUCCUUCGGGGGGCAGCAGGGGGGAAUAUUGGACAAUGGACCGAAGUCUGAUCCAGCAAGUCUGUGUGCACGAUGAAGUUUUCGGAAUGUAAAGUGCUUUCAGUUGGGAAGCGGUACCAACAGAAGAAGUGACGGCUAAAUACGUGCCAGCAGCCGCGGUAAUAC
rnacentral:rRNA from 1 species